UGGUAUCGUAUUUGAUCCAAGAUGUUGUCUCUCUCUCUCUUUCUCACUCAAAUAUUCUAUUGYGAUCUUAUCGAGGUUGAAGAUUUUUGAAACUACAAGUAUUUUCUUAUUUUCCUCCUUAACGUUGUUCGGUAUUCAGAUCAUCUGCAGCUUCUCGAGUAUCAACCUAUGAUCCUAUCCACAAGCAUUGGCUGAAAGGUUGGAGUGGCUGCUUUUCACUUGAGGUCAGCUUCAUUACAUCUUUCUCAAAUUCAUUGGAACUAGCAGUACAUAUUAGAACACAAAGACCUUGCUGCAUUUUUAUGAUCCUAAGGUUGUAAUGUCUCAUGGUUGCAAACCACUCACUAUGGAUAUGACCAUAUUUUCGAUGCAUGGCAUWUUUCUUGAUUAGUAGAUGUUUGAAUGACUGCUAUUGUGAUCAUAUUUGCCCAGGUAUGUAUCAGCAUUAGGUAUUAAUUCAAAUGUCCUACUUGCUUGGGCCCCAACCUUUGGUUGCAUGGCUGUAGAGUACAUUCGACAAUGUUUCUACCCUAAAAAGAAUUGGGCUAUGUUUUGUUCAUUUUGAAUAUUAAAAUAAUGUUAUGCUUUUUAAAUAUGCCUGUUUACAUAAAUUGGCAUCAGUUGUACCAUAUUAGUACGAAUUUUGUGAAUUCCUGGCAUUGCAUAAGUAGCUCUGUAGGGAUGUAUGUAACGUAGAUGAUAUCUGCUCAAUGCUUUUACAGUUCUAAUCUUCCUUUGUUGCUUAAAAUUAAAAAAUAUUAUUAUUUUUUUCUCUUUUGAUCAGUAGCAACUAACAAAUACAAACUUUUUUUUGAUAAAUGAACAUAAUUUAUUAGUGAACUACUGAAACAUGAGAAGAGGUUGUCAUACAGCUUAAAAGAAAAUAAGAGUAUGACACUGGUUUCUGUCCCCUAUGCAAAUUACAUUUGGCCUAAGGCCAAACUUUUAUCAAACCCUUGGACCCUUUGAAUUUCCAACUACAUGUCCUUUGAAAACCAUUUAAAGGCUUAAAGUGUUUGAUAUCAUUUCUAUAACUCCACAAAGCUGCUUUACUUCCUUUUGUUAACCAUCUGAUUGCAACAUUGGGUGCCCCUUUAAUAACCAAUUAUUCAACUCCCAUCUCCUUUAUGUUUCAUACUCCGGUAACUACGUGAACUCCUUCACCUAUUGGACCUGAAAACAUUCCACGAACGAGUCCAUUCUCAUAUCUUAUCACUCCCCCUACCGUAAAAACCUUGUUCCAUCCAUCCAUCCCUUUGCCAGUGAUUUCCACUCCCUCCUUGCAUUUUGCUUUUUUUUGUUGAUGAGGCUGCAAUUGCUGCCUAAUUUCUAAGAAUAUCAUUCAUUAUGAAAUCCAAGAACAAAUAUAUUGUUUUCAAUCAAUGUGCCACCCUGACUAUAAUGUUUUCCAUUAAAUCCUCUUCAUUUCUUUCUUUUUCCUUAAAAAUUCAUGCACUCCUUUCUUCCCAUAUAGUCCAAAUCAUAGUAACCRGUGCAAUUGUCCAUGUUAAUC